GAAUUUGCCGGGCCCCACCUCCUCCCGGGGCCUGCGGCAAACGCGGCGACGCCUUUCCUCCUCCCUGGCGUCGCCGCAAAUU
rnacentral:ncRNA from 1 species